CAGUUACCAGCGGGUAAUGCCGGGGACUCUGGAGGGACUGCCGGUGCCAAACCGGAGGAAGGUGGGGACGACGUCAAGUCAUCAUGGCUCUUACAUCCAGGGCUACACACGUGCUACAAUGGCCGAGACAGAGGGCUGCGAACUCGCGAGAGGGAGCCAAUCCCCAAACUCGGCCUCAGUUCGGAUUGCAGUCUGCAACUCGACUGCAUGAAGCUGGAAUCGCUAGUAAUCGUGGAUCAGCUACGCCACGGUGAAUACGUUCCCGGGCCUUGUACACACCGUCCGUCACGCCAUGGAAGCUGUGAGUGCCCGAAGUCGGUGCAGGAACCCGCAAGGGGCCAAGCCGCCGAAGGCAAGCGCAGUGACUGGGGCGAAGUCGUAAUCAAGGUAACCGUA
rnacentral:rRNA from 1 species